rnacentral:rRNA from 1 species
AUUGAACGCUGGCGGCAGGCCUAACACAUGCAAGUCGAGCGGAUGAAGGGAGCUUGCUCCUGGAUUCAGCGGCGGACGGGUGAAUAAUGCCUAGGAAUCUGCCUGGUAGUGGGGGAUAACGUCCGGAAACGGGCGCUAAUACCGCAUACGUCCUGAGGGAGAAAGUGGGGGAUCUUCGGACCUCACGCUAUCAGAUGAGCCUAGAUCGGAUUAGCUAGUUGGUGGGGUAAAGGCCUACCAAGGCGACGAUCCGUAACUGGUCUGAGAGGAUGAUCAGUCACACUGGAACUGAGACACGGUCCAGACUCCUACGGGAGGCAGCAGUGGGGAAUAUUGGACAAUGGGCGAAAGCCUGAUCCAGCCAUGCCGCGUGUGUGAAGAAGGUCUUCGGAUUGUAAAGCACUUUAAGUUGGGAGGAAGGGCAGUAAGUUAAUACCUUGCUGUUUUGACGUUACCAACAGAAUAAGCACCGGCUAACUUCGUG